rnacentral:misc_RNA from 1 species
GGAAGGAUCAUUAAAAGGAACGCUGGUCCAACCAGCAUCCUCCAACCCAAUGUGUACCCGCCUUGUUGCCUCGGCGUGCCUGCGUCGUCCGUGGCGCUGCCGGCUCCGGCUGGAUAGCGCACGCCAGAGGAAUUUUAAACUCCAGCUUCAACGAGUGCAGUCUGAGCUUUAAUCGAAUAAGUUAAAACUUUCAACAACGGAUCUCUUGGUUCUGGCAUCGAUGAAGAACGCAGCGAAAUGCGAUAAGUAAUGUGAAUUGCAGAAUUCAGUGAAUCAUCGAAUCUUUGAACGCACAUUGCGCCCUUCGGUAUUCCGAGGGGCAUGCCUGUUCGAGCGUCAUUUCAAACCUCAAGCUCUGCUUGGUAUUGGGUCCGGCCCCCCGUCUCCGGGGCGGCCGUCCUGAAAGUCAGCGGCGAGGCUGUCCAGCUUCAGGCGUAGUAGAACCUUUCGUCUCGCCUUGCGAGCCUGGGCUGCCCUCGCCGGAUAACCUUCAUCCACAAGGUUGACCUCGGAUCAGGUAGGGAUACCCGCUGAACUUAAGCAUAUCAAUAAGCGGAGGAAAAGAAACCAACAGGGAUUGCCUCAGUAACGGCGAGUGAAGCGGCAAGAGCUCAAAUUUGAAAUCUGGCCCUUUCAGGGUCCGAGUUGUAAUUUGAAGAGGAUGCUUCGGCGGCGGCGCCGGUCUAAGUUCCUUGGAACAGGACGUCGCAGAGGGUGAGAACCCCGUACGUGGUCGGCGGCCAACGCCAAAGGAAGCUCCUUCGACGAGUCGAGUUGUUUGGGAAUGCAGCUCUAAAUGGGAGGUAAAUUUCUUCUAAAGCUAAAUACCGGCCAGAGACCGAUAGCGCACAAGUAGAGUGAUCGAAAGAUGAAAAGCACUUUGGAAAGAGAGUUAAAAAGUACGUGAAAUUGUUGAAAGGGAAGCGCUUGCAACCAGACUUGCCCGCGGUUGCUUAGCCGGUCUUCUGACCGGUGCACUCUUCCGCGGUCAGGCCAGCAUCAGUUUGGGCGGUCGGAUAAAGGCCGAGGGAAUGUAGCUCCUCCCGGGGAGUGUUAUAGCCCUCGGCGGCAUGCGGCCAGCCUGGACUGAGGUCCGCGCUCCGGCUAGGAUGCUGGCGUAAUGGUUGUAAGCGGCCCGUCUUGAAACACGGACCAAGGAGUCUAACAUCUGUGCGAGUGUUUGGGUGUAAAACCCAUGCGCGUAAUGAAAGUGAACGGAGGUAGGAACCCCUCGGGUGCACUAUCGACCGAUCCUGAUGUCUUCGGAUGGAUUUGAGUAAGAGCAUAGCUGUUGGGACCCGAAAGAUGGUGAACUAUGCCUGAAUAGGGUGAAGCCAGAGGAAACUCUGGUGGAGGCUCGCAGCGGUUCUGACGUGCAAAUCGAUCGUCAAAUUUGGGUAUAGGGGCGAAAGACUAAUCGAACCAUCUAGUAGCUGGUUUCGGC